GACGAACGCUGGCGGCGUGCCUAACACAUGCAAGUCGAACGGAGAUACGAUUUCGGUUGUAUCUUAGUGGCGAACGGGUGAGUAACGCGUGAACAACCUGACUCUAAGAGGGGGAUAACACUCGGAAACGGGUGCUAAUACCGCUUAAGACCACGACCCGGCAUCGGGAUGAGGUCAAAGGAGCAAUCCGCUGAGAGGGGGGUUCGCGUCCCAUAGAUAGAUGGCGGGGUAACGGCCCACCAUGUCAACGAUGGGUAGCCGAGCUGAGAGGCUGCUCGGCCACACUGGAACUGAGACACGGUGCAGACUCCUACGGGAGGCAGCAGUGGGGAAUAUUGGGCAAUGGGCGCAAGCCUGACCCAGCAACGCCGCGUGAGGGAAGAAGGCUUUCGGGUUGUAAACCUCUGUCCUUGGUGACGAAACAAAUGACGGUAGCCAAGGAGGAAGCCCCGGCUAACUACGUGCCAGCCGCCGCCGUAA
rnacentral:rRNA from 1 species